CCUACCAUGGUGGUAACGGGUAACGGGGUGUUAGGGCACGACACCGGAGAGGGAGCCUGAGAAACGGCUACCACAUCCAAGGAUGGCAGCAGGCGCGCAAAUUACCCAAUCCCGACACGGGGAGGUAGUGACAAUAAAUAACAAUACGGGGUUCUUUCGGAUUUCGUAAUUGGAAUGAGUACAAUUUAAAUCUCUUAACGAGGAACAAUUGGAGGGCAAGUCUGGUGCCAGCAGCCGCGGUAAUUCCAGCUCCAAUAGCGUAUAUUAAAGUUGUUGCAGUUAAAAAGCUCGUAGUUGAAUUUCGGGAUCGACAGAUUGGUCGCGCCUUCGGUGUGUACUGGUCUAGUCGGUUUCUCCCUUCUGACGAACUACGAUGUCAUUAAUUUGGUGUCGUGGGGAAUCAGGACUGUUACUUUGAAAAAAUUAGAGUGUUUAAAGCAGGCAUUAGCUUGAAUACAUUAGCAUGGAAUAAUGAAAUAGGACGUUUGAUCCUAUUUUGUUGGUUUCUAGGAUCGACGUAAUGAUUAAUAGGGAUAGUUGGGGGCAUUAGUAUUCAAUUGUCAGAGGUGAAAUUCUUGGAUUUAUUGAAGACUAACUACUGCGAAAGCAUUUGCCAAGGAUGUUUUCAUUAAUCAAGAACGAAAGUUAGGGGAUCGAAGACGAUCAGAUACCGUCGUAGUCUUAACCAUAAACUAUGCCGACUAGGGAUCGGAUGAUGUUAAUUUUUUAAUGACUCAUUC
rnacentral:rRNA from 1 species